rnacentral:rRNA from 1 species
GAUGAACGCUGGCGGCGUGCCUAAUACAUGCAAGUCGAGCGAACAGAUGAGGAGCUUGCUCCUCUGACGUUAGCGGCGGACGGGUGAGUAACACGUGGAUAACCUCCCUAUAAGACUGGGAUAACUUCGGGAAACCGGAGCUAAUACCGGAUAAUAUAUUGAACCGCAUGGUUCAAUAGUGAAAGACGGUUUUGCUGUCACUUAUAGAUGGAUCCGCGCCGCAUUAGCUAGUUGGUAAGGUAACGGCUUACCAAGGCAACGAUGCGUAGCCGACCUGAGAGGGGGAUCGGCCACCCUGGAACUGAGACACGGUCCAGACUCCUGCGGGAGGCAGCAGUAGGGAAUCUGCCGCAAUGGGCGAAAGCCUGACGGAGCAACGCCGCCUGAGUGAUGAAGGUCUUCGGAUCGUAAAACUCUGUUAUGAGGGAAGAACAAAUGUGUAAGUAACUAUGCACGUCUUGACGGUACCUAAUCAGAAAGCCACGGCUAACUACGUG